rnacentral:lncRNA from 1 species
GACAUUUUGGCACCUGUCGUAUAAUUAUAAGAAUGUAGUUGCAGAUUUCCCUAACCGUAUAGAGAUGUAAUUCUCGAAUUCGAUGACAAUAAACCAAACCAUCGAUUCGGUGUUAAAAAAAAAAAAAAAAUGCAGCUGAAAUCUGGCUGUGGGCUGUUAUUGUGGAAAGUAAAACGACCCAAUCCAAGCAAAGCAAAAUAAAGCUUUAGAGUUUGUACCCGGGAUGAUUCAUCAGUUGCAAAUGGAACUCCACCCACAUAAAUCAUGAUGAUGAUUCUUCUGAUGCAGAAGUAAUUGCAAAUUUAGUUGAAAUUUGGGUGAUGGAAUUGAAGCUAGGGCAUUUGAGUGCUGUCACUUCUUCCUCACUAGAGUCGUGAGGUAGACUUUAUCGGAAAAAUUCUUUAAUUAUUCUAAAUCUAAAGAAUUUGUAGAAGCAUUGUCAAUUUUUUAAGGAAG